rnacentral:rRNA from 1 species
AGAGUUUGAUCCUGGCUCAGGAUGAACGCUAGCGACAGGCUUAACACAUGCAAGUCGAGGGGCAGCAUGAUUUGUAGCAAUACAGAUUGAUGGCGACCGGCGCACGGGUGAGUAACGCGUAUGCAACUUACCUAUCAGAGGGGGAUAACCCGGCGAAAGUCGGACUAAUACCGCAUGAAGCAGGGGCCCCGCAUGGGGAUAUUUGCUAAAGAUUCAUCGCUGAUAGAUAGGCAUGCGUUCCAUUAGGCAGUUGGCGGGGUAACGGCCCACCAAACCGACGAUGGAUAGGGGUUCUGAGAGGAAGGUCCCCCACAUUGGUACUGAGACACGGACCAAACUCCUACGGGAGGCAGCAGUGAGGAAUAUUGGUCAAUGGCCGAGAGGCUGAACCAGCCAAGUCGCGUGAAGGAAGAAGGAUCUAUGGUUUGUAAACUUCUUUUAUAGGGGAAUAAAGUGGAGGACGUGUCCUUUUUUGUAUGUACCCUAUGAAUAAGCAUCGGCUAACUCCGUGCCAGCAGCCGCGGUAAUACGGAGGAUGCGAGCGUUAUCCGGAUUUAUUGGGUUUAAAGGGUGCGUAGGUGGUGAUUUAAGUCAGCGGUGAAAGUUUGUGGCUCAACCAUAAAAUUGCCGUUGAAACUGGGUUACUUGAGUGUGUUUGAGGUAGGCGGAAUGCGUGGUGUAGCGGUGAAAUGCAUAGAUAUCACGCAGAACUCCGAUUGCGAAGGCAGCUUACUAAACCAUAACUGACACUGAAGCACGAAAGCGUGGGGAUCAAACAGGAUUAGAUACCCUGGUAGUCCACGCAGUAAACGAUGAUCACUAGCUGUUUGCGAUACACUGUAAGCGGCACAGCGAAAGCGUUAAGUGAUCCACCUGGGGAGUACGCCGGCAACGGUGAAACUCAAAGGAAUUGACGGGGGCCCGCACAAGCGGAGGAACAUGUGGUUUAA